rnacentral:tRNA from 1 species
GUCCAGUUAUGCCUAGUGGACAUGGCAUCUGCCCGGUAAGCAGAAACACUGUGGGUUCAAUUCCCAUCCCUGGACA